AUUAAUUAGGGGAGGAAAAGAAACUAACAAGGAUUUUCUUAGUAGCGGCGAGCGAAAAGAAAUCAGUUCAGCACCAAGUCACUUUGUCUUUAUGGCAAAUGUGAGAUGCGGUGUAUGGAACGUCUUAAAUCUAGUAUGAGAAAUUAACGAUUUAAGUCCUUCUUAAAUGAGGCCACUUACCCAUAGAGGGUGCCAGGCCCGUAUUACGUUAAUGAUUACUAGAAGGCGUUUCCAAAGAGUCAUGUUGCUUGAUAGUGCAGCACUAAGUGGGUGGUAAACUCCAUCUAAAACUAAAUAUAACCAUGAGACCGAUAGUAAACAAGUACCGUGAGGGAAAGUUGAAAAGAACUCUGAAUAGAGAGUUAAAUAGUACGUGAAACUGCUUAGAGGUUAAGCCCGAUGAACCUGAAUAUCCAUUUUGGAAAAUUCAUCAUUAGAAUUAUAAUAUUUAAAAAAUAUUAUUAAUGAUAGUGUGCAUUUUUUCCAAAUAAGGACAUUGUAAUCUAUUAUCAUGUUUAUAUAUUUAUCAAAAAAUCAUUAGCUUAUGUUUAUUUAAAUUAUUAUGCUUGCAUUUUAACAUAAAAUAAAUGCUUAUUGAUUUGAUAAAGUGAUGAUAGAUUUAUUAUAAAUACAGUGCGUUAAUUUUUUUAUAAAAUUAUAUAAUGGCAUAUUAAUCAUUGAUUUUUAUGUUUAUUAUAUGCAUUUGUAUGAUUAACAAUGCGAAAGAUUCAGGAUACCUUCGGGACCCGUCUUGAAACACGGACCAAGGAGUCUAACAUAUUUGCAAGUCAUUGGGAUUUUAUAAACCUAAUGGCAUAAUUAACUUGACUUGUUUAAAUGGGAUUAGUUUUAUAAUCUAUUUUUAAAUAGUUAUUUAACACAAUCCCGGGGCGUUCUAAAUAGUUAUGUAUAAUAAAAUUUAUUUUAUUUAUACCUCUAACUGGAACGUACCUUGAGCAUAU
rnacentral:rRNA from 1 species